rnacentral:rRNA from 1 species
CUAGUAACGGCGAGUGAAGAGGAAAGAGCUCAAAGUUGGAACCUGUUUGGCUUAGCUAAACCGGAUUGUAAACUGUAGAAACAUUUUCCAGGCACGCUAGACAAAAAAGUCCUUUGGAACAGGGCAUCAUAGAGGGUGAGAAUCCCGUCUUAAUCUAAGUAGUUGUCUAUUUGUGAUAUGUUUUCAAAGAGUCAGGUUGUUUGGGAAUGCAGCCUAAAUUGGGUGGUAAAUCUCACCUAAAGCUAAAUAUUUGCGAGAGACCGAUAGCGAACAAGUACCGUGAGGGAAAGAUGAAAAGAACUUUGAAAAGAGAGUUAAACAGUAUGUGAAAUUGUUAAAAGGGAACCGUUUGGAGCCAGACUGGCUUGACUGUAAUCAUCCUACUUUUUUUGUGGGUGCACUUGCGGUCUUUGCCUGCCAACAACAGUUUGAUUUGGAGGAAAAAAAUAUUUGGAAUGUGGCCUUUUUCGGAAGGUGUUAUAGCCUUUUAUAUCAUACUCUGGAUUGGACUGAGGAUCGCAGUUAUUGUUUCCGCUUGUUUUUCUUUUGCUGAUAAAUGUUAAAAUUUCUGCUUAGGGUGGUGUUAAUGUUUAAAGGUAAAACUAGGAUGAGUAUUGUGAUAACUUAGGUUGUUGGCUUAAUGACUCUAAAUGACCCGUCUUGAAACACGGACCAAGGAGUCCACCAUAAGUGCAAGUAUUUGGGUGCCAAACUCAUAUGCGUAAGGAAACUGAUUGAUACGAAUAGCUUCGGCGUGCAGUAUCACCCGGCAUAGACGUUUUAACUGAAAUGACCGAGGUUAAGCACUUAUGAUGGGACCCGAAAGAUGGUGAACUAUGCCUGAAUAGGGUGAAGCCGGAGGAAACUCCGGUGGAGGCUCGUAGCGAUUCUGACGUGCAAAUCGAUCGUCAAAUUUGGGUAUAGGGGCGAAAGACUA